UACCAGCACCCCGAGUGGUCGGGACGAUUAUUGGGCCUAAAGCAUCCGUAGCCGGUUCUGCAAGUCCCCCGUUAAAUCCAGCUGCUCAACGGUUGGGCUGCGGAGGAUACUACGUGGCUAGGAGGCGGGAGAGGCAAGCGGUACUCAGUGGGUAGGGGUAAAAUCCUUUGAUCCAUUGAAGACCACCAGUGGCGAAGGCGGCUUGCCAGAACGCGCUCGACGGUGAGGGAUGAAAGCUGGGGGAGCAAACCGGG
rnacentral:rRNA from 1 species